CCGACCUUAGCUCAGUUGGAAGAGCACAAGACUGUAAAUGGUUGAAUCCGCGUUAUCUUGGGGUCGCCUGUUCGAACCAGGCAGGUCGGA
rnacentral:tRNA from 1 species